rnacentral:rRNA from 1 species
AUACGGAGGGUGCAAGCGUUGUCCGGAUUUAUUGGGUUUAAAGGGUGCGUAGGUGGCGUGUUAAGUCAGUGGUGAAAGCCUACAGCUCAACUGUAGAGGUGCCAUUGAUACUGACAUGCUUGAGUAUGGACGAGGUAGGCGGAAUUUGUGGUGUAGCGGUGAAAUGCAUAGAUACCACAAAGAACACCGAUAGCGAAGGCAGCUUACUGGACCAUAACUGACACUGAGGCACGAAAGUGUGGGUAGCGAACAGGAGUAGAAACCCCAGUAGUCC